rnacentral:rRNA from 1 species
UACGUAGGGGGCAAGCGUUGUCCGGAUUUAUUGGGCGUAAAGAGCGUGUAGGCGGCUUUGCAGGUCCGCUGUGAAAACUCGAGGCUCAACCUCGAGCUGUCGGUGGAAACCGUAAAGCUAGAGUCCGGAAGAGGAGAGUGGAAUUCCCGGUGUAGCGGUGAAAUGCGCAGAUAUCGGGAAGAACACCCGUGGCGAAGGCGGCUCUCUGGGACGGUACUGGACGCUGAGA